rnacentral:rRNA from 1 species
ACGCUCAACACCUACGGGAGGCAGCAGUUAGGAAUAUUGGGCAAUGGAGGAAACUCUGACCCAGCAACGCCGCGUGAAGGAAGAAGGUUUUCGGAUUGUAAACUUCUGAUCUAGGGGAAGAAGGAAGUGACGGUACCCUAGGAGAAAGCCACGGCUAACUACGUGUCAGCAGCCGCGGUAAUCUGAGCGGGCUGGCAAGGC